rnacentral:misc_RNA from 1 species
CCCAAAUCCUCCCCUCCUCAUUUCAAGGAAGUGUGCCAAACAUUUAGAUCCUUCUCACCCUAAAAAAUAAAAAAUAAACACAAGGAAACGGAAAGGAUUUACAUUAGAGAAAGGGAUAAUUAUGGAUCAACUACAGUUUGUGGUGGAAGCCUCUGAGGCUGACUCCAUUACCCAAAAACUUGGCCUACCUUCUGUCCACCACCUCCUCCCUCUCUUGGUUCAACCCGCACAAACCCUUGCCCGCCCACCCAUCUCCAACUACCACGUCGCUGCCGUUGGCCUUGGCUCCGACGGCCGUGUAUUCCUCGGCGUUAACCUUGAAUUUCCUGGAUUACCCCUUCAUCA